GGAAUCAACGCUGGCGGCGUGCCUCAGACAUGCAAGUCGAACGCGAAAGUCCCCUUCGGGGGGCGAGUAGAGUGGCGCACGGGUGAGUAACACGUAGGUAAUCUACCUUUGGAUGGGGAAUAACAACCGGAAACGGUUGCUAAUACCGCAUAAUGCAGCGGCACCUAAUGGUGACAGUUGUUAAAGCGGGGGAUCGAAAGACCUCGCGUCUGAAGAGGAGCCUGCGGCGGAUUAGCUAGUUGGUAAGGUAACGCUUACCAAGGCAACGAUCCGUA
rnacentral:rRNA from 1 species